rnacentral:rRNA from 1 species
UACGUAGGGGGCAAGCGUUGUCCGGAUUUAUUGGGCUUAAAGGGUGCGUAGGCGGCUUUAUAAGUCAGUGCUGAAAUAUCCCGGCUUAACCGGGAGGGUGGGAUUGAUACUGCAGAGCUUGAGUGAAGUCGAGGUAGGCGGAAUUGACGGUGUAGCGGUGAAAUGCUUAGAUAUCGUCAAGAACACCGAUAGUGAAGACAGCUUACUAGACUUCAACUGACGCUGAGGCACGAAAGUGUGGGGAUCAAACAGG